AGGAGUGAACAGGAAGCCGCGCAGACCCUGGUUGAAUUAUUGGAAGAACAAGAACCACCUACUAAAGGAGUUUAAAAAAAUACCUGAGACAAGACAUGGCGAUAACUUGACUGCCACCCAACGCAAAGCCCUGAUGGAUAUCCAAUCCUGGAAGGAGAAACUUUACCGUCACAUCUAAAAGAUACCAACGACGUCCUCAAGAAACUUGAUCAUCUGCAACUUGAUUCGGAUAUGAUACUUGCCACCUGUGAUGUCGAGGCAUUGUACACUUCUAUUAGACACCGGGAUGGCUUGAAAGCGAUCUGUUCAGGAAGAAAACAUCUGCAAAUACGGUACUGCAUGCCACUUCAAGCCAUCCUCAUCACUUAAUCAAUAAUAUACCAAAUGGACAAUUCCUGAGGGCCUGUCGAAUUUGCUCUAGCGAAGAUUCCUUUGAAGUCCAGGCUAAAGAUUUGAAGGUACGCGGCAUUGACCGUGUUUACAUCAGCAAUCGUGGCGGCAAUUGGAAACGUGUACUCGCACAGAAAGAGACCCGGUGGAUUGAAGUCUUGGGUAUGAAAACUCUGGAUGGC